rnacentral:rRNA from 1 species
UACGUAGGGUGCGAGCGUUGUCCGGAGUUACUGGGCGUAAGGCGCACGCAGGCGGUCUGCUAAGUUUGGAGUGACAGUUGGUGGCUUAACUGCCAAAGUGCUUCGAAAACUGACAGACUUGAGGGCUUCAGAGGGACACGGAAUUCCGGGUGGAGUGGUGAAAUGCGUAGAGAUCCGGAGGAACACCAAAGGCGAAGGCAGUGUCCUGGGGAGUACCUGACGCUCAGGUGCGAAAGCCAGGGGAGCGAACGGG